GGCAGUAUGGUGUAAUGAUGCACACGGGAUUUUCGUAUGCCAGUCUCACCACAACGUGAAUGUAUUCCAGAUGUCCUUGUUCGAGUCAAGGUACUGCUU